rnacentral:rRNA from 1 species
AAAAGAAGCAGAGGGGGCUUAGUGGUGGGGUGACUGCGUACCUUUUGUAUAAUGGGUCAGCGACUUAUAUUCUGUAGCAAGGUUAACCGAAUAGGGGAGCCGGAGGGAAACCGAGUCUUAAUUGGGCGUUAAGUUGCAGGGUAUAGACCCGAAACCCGGUGAUCUAGCCAUGGGCAGGUUGAAGGUUGGGUAACACUAACUGGAGGACCGAACCGACUAAUGUUGAAAAAUUAGCGGAUGACCUGUGGCUGGGGGUGAAAGGCCAAUCAAACCGGGAGAUAGCUGGUUCUCCCCGAAAGCUAUUUAGGUAGCGCCUCGUGAAUUCAUCUCCGGGGGUAGAGCGCUGUUU